UUGGGAUGACUCGCGGCCUAUCAGCUUGUUGGUGAGGUAAUGGCUCACCAAGGCGACGACGGGUAGCCGGCCUGAGAGGGUGACCGGCCACACUGGGACUGAGACACGGCCCAGACUCNUACGGGAGGCAGCAGUGGGGAAUAUUGCACAAUGGGCGAAAGCCUGAUGCAGCAACGCCGCGUGAGGGAUGACGGCCUUCGGGUUGUAAACCUCUUUUAGUAGGGAAGAAGCGUAAGUGACGGUACCUGCAGAAAAAGCACCGGCUAACUACGUGCCAGCAGCCGCGGUAAUACGUAGGGUGCAAGCGUUGUCCGGAAUUAUUGGGCGUAAAGAGCUCGUAGGCGGUUUGUCGCGUCUGCUGUGAAAUCCCGAGGCUCAACCUCGGGCUUGCAGUGGGUACGGGCAGACUAGAGUGCGGUAGGGGAGAUUGGAAUUCCUGGUGUAGCGGUGGAAUGCGCAGAUAUCAGGAGGAACACCGAUGGCGAAGGCAGAUCUCUGGGCCGUAACUGACGCUGAGGAGCGAAAGCGUGGGGAGCGAACAGGAUUAGAUACCCUGGUAGUCCACGCCGUAAACGUUGGGCGCUAGAUGUAGGGACCUUUCCACGG
rnacentral:rRNA from 2 species